rnacentral:rRNA from 1 species
CCUACGGGAGGCAGCAGUGGGGAAUAUUGGACAAUGGGGGAAACCCUGAUCCAGCGACGCCGCGUGAGUGAAGAAGUAUUUCGGUACGUAAAGCUCUAUCAGCAGGAAAGAAAAUGACGGUACCUGACUAAGAAGCCCCGGCUAACUACGUGCCACGAGCCGCGGUAAUACGUAGGGGGCAGGCGUUAUCCGGAUUUACUGGGUGUAAAGGGAGCGUAGACGGCAGCGGAAGUAUGGAGUGAAAUGCCGGGGCCGAACCCCGGAACUGCUGUGGAAACUGUGAAGCUGGAGGGCGGGAGAGGUAAGCGGAAUGCGUGGUGUAGCGGUGAAAUGCGUAGAUAGCAGGAGGAACACCGGCGGCGAAGGCGGCUUACUGGACUGUAACUGACGUUGAGGCUCGAAGGCGUGGGGAGCAAACAGGAUUAGAUACCCUUGUAGUC